GUGCCAGCAGCCGCGGUAAUACGUAGGGUGCGAGCGUUAAUCGGAAUUACUGGGCGUAAAGCGUGCGCAGGCGGUUGUGCAAGACAGAUGUGAAAGCCCCGGGCUCAACCUGGGAAUGGCAUUUGUGACUGCACGGCUAGAGUGUGUCAGAGGGAGGUAGAAUUCCACGUGUAGCAGUGAAAUGCGUAGAGAUGUGGAGGAAUACCGAUGGCGAAGGCAGCCUCCUGGGAUAACACUGACGCUCAUGCACGAAAGCGUGGGGAGCAAACAGGAUUAGAUACCCUGGUAGUCC
rnacentral:rRNA from 1 species